UACGGAGGGGACUAGCGUUGUUCGGAAUUACUGGGCGUAAAGCGCACGUAGGCGGAUUUGUAAGUCAGGGGUGAAAUCCCGGGGCUCAACCUCGGAACUGCCUUUGAUACUGCAAAUCUCGAGUCCGGAAGAGGUGAGUGGAAUUCCUAGUGUAGAGGUGAAAUUCGUAGAUAUUAGGAAGAACACCAGUGGCGAAGGCGGCUCACUGGUCCGGUACUGACGCUGAGGUGCGAAAGCGUGGGUAGCAAACAGG
rnacentral:rRNA from 1 species